rnacentral:rRNA from 1 species
CAGCAGCCACGGUAAUACGAAGGGGGCUAGCGUUGUUCGGAAUUACUGGGCGUAAAGCGCACGUAGGCGGACAUUUAAGUCAGGGGUGAAAUCCCGGGGCUCAACCCCGGAACUGCCUUUGAUACUGGGUGUCUAGAGUAUGGAAGAGGUGAGUGGAAUUCCGAGUGUAGAGGUGAAAUUCGUAGAUAUUCGGAGGAACACCAGUGGCGAAGGCGGCUCACUGGUCCAUUACUGACGCUGAGGUGCGAAAGCGUGGGGAGCAAACAGGAUUAGAUACCCCUGUAGUCCCUGUCUCUUAUAC